AGCUUCAUGGCGCAGUGGCGACGCACCAGUUUUCACAGACUGGAGUCCUCUGUUCGAAUCAGAGUGAAGCUG